UUCACCUGUUUAUCAAAAACAUCUCUUUAUGAAUAAAAUAUAAAGUUUAACCUGCCCACUGAAUAUUAAAUGGCUGCAGUAUAUUGACUGUACAAAGGUAGCAUAAUAAUUAGUUUUUUAAUUGAAAACUGGAAUGAAUGGUUGGAUGAAAUAUAAACUGUUUUAAUUAAAAUUAAUUUGAAUUUUAUUUUUUAGUAAAAAAGCUAAAAUUUAUUUAAAAGACGAGAAGACCCUAUAAAUCUUUAUAUAAAAAUUUUAAUUUUAAUUAUUUAGAUGAUUUAAUGAAUUAAUAUUUUUAUAUUUUAUUGGGGAGAUAGUAAAAUUUAAUAAACUUUUAUUUGUGAUUUCAUUAAUUUAUGAAUUGUUGAUUAAUUUUUAAUGCAUAAUAAAAUAAGUUACUUUAGGGAUAACAGCGUAAUUAUUUUGGAGAGUUCAUAUUGAUAAAAUAGAUUGCGAC
rnacentral:rRNA from 1 species